rnacentral:misc_RNA from 1 species
UACGUAGGAUGCAAGCGUUGUCCGGAAUUAUUGGGCGUAAAGGGUCCGUAGGCGGUUCGGUUAGUCUCCUGUGAAAACUCCAGGCUCAACCUGGAGACGUCGGGGGAAACUGCCGGACUUGAGACUGUCAGAGGCAAGCGGAAUUCCCGGUGUAGUGGUGAAAUGCGUAGAUAUCGGGAGGAACACCAGUGGCGAAAGCGGCUUGCUGGGGCAGUUCUGACGCUGAGGGACGAAAGCGUGGGUAGCAAACCGG